UACGUAGGGUGCGAGCGUUAAUCGGAAUUACUGGGCGUAAAGCGUGCGCAGGCGGUUUUGUAAGACAGAUGUGAAAUCCCCGGGCUCAACCUGGGAACUGCGUUUGUGACUGCAAGACUCGAGUGCGGCAGAGGGGGGUGGAAUUCCACGUGUAGCAGUGAAAUGCGUAGAGAUGUGGAGGAACACCGGUGGCGAAGGCGGCAUCCUGGACCGACACUGACGCUGAGGAGCGAAAGCCAGGGGAGCAAACGGG
rnacentral:rRNA from 1 species